UUAUUUAUUUAUACUGCCUCGUCAAUAUAUACACACCUAUGUUUCUGAUUUAUAAGUUGGGAAAAAUUUGGCUGUCAAGAGAAUUCUGUUUUGUUGUUAUAUUUGAUUGCUUUCGGAAAUAUAAUGCUUUUUCCAGAUUUGUGUGGAUACAUAUGAGAUCUUCAAUCGCUUUCCUUUCUUUCUCUGACUCUCAUGAAGACAGUGACACUUUCUCUCUCUCUCUCCUCCUCCUCCUUCUCCUCCUCUCUGCUUCGUCCUUCCUAACCUUUUCUUUUCCAAAAUUUACUUGUGUUUCUUUUGGCCUUCUAAUUCAUAAUCUUCUUUGCCCUUAUUUGCCAUGUCCUAUUAUUGCUUUGCUUUUCUCUUCUUGCAGCACUUCUGAUCGUCGUUUACCAGUCGAGGCCUCGCACUGUGACAACAAAGAAAAAGCAGGCUUUUAUUUUUGGGAUUCUUCAUGAAUCAUACACAACCAUUCUUCUUAUGCAAAGCCUUUGUCUACCUUGUAACUCAAGGAAUGUUUCACAACAAGUAUGCAGAUUUAAACUUUGACGAGGACGGUGACAUCUUCACAAAACAAAAGCACUGGACCACAAAUAAUACUCAAAGUUUGUGGUCCAAACAAUCUGGAUACAUAGCAGUAGUCAUCAGUAACACUGAUACAUCAUGGUACAUACAUAUAUAUAAUUACACAGACAACACAGACACAGACACAGACACACGAAUAUAGGUGUGUAUCUGUAUGUACUCGUAGUUCCAGGAGGUUGUCUGUCUAAUGUUAUUUUUAGAGGGUGUUUUAAUGUCACUGCGAGUUGGGAUGUGUCAGUGUCAUAUGUAUAGAUGAUGUUGUGGAUCUUAAUUAGUGUGAAAAUGGUUAGCAUCAUAUUUGGAAGUGCCAGACAGGAACUAAUGAUGAUGGUGACGGAGGAA